GACGAACGCUGGCGGCGUGCCUAAUACAUGCAAGUAGAACGCACAGUUUAUACCGUAGCUUGCUACACCAUAAACUGUGAGUUGCGAACGGGUGAGUAACGCGUAGGUAACCUGCCUGGUAGCGGGGGAUAACUAUUGGUAACGAUAGCUAAUACCGCAUAAUAUUAAUUAUUGCAUGAUAAUUGAUUGAAAGUUGCAAUUGCAUCACUACCAGAUGGACCUGCGUUGUAUUAGCUAGUAGGUGAGGUAACGGCUCACCUAGGCGACGAUACAUAGCCGACCUGAGAGGGUGAUCAGCCACACUGGGACUGAGACACGGCCCAGACUCCUACGGGAGGCAGCAGUAGGGAAUCUUGGGCAAUGGACGAAAGUCUGACCGAGCAACGCCGCGUGAGUGAAGAAGGUUGUCGGAUCGUAAAGCUCUGUUGUAAGAGAAGAACGGGUGUGAGAGUGGAAAGUUCACACUGUGACGGUAUCUUACCAGAAAGGGACGGCUAACUACGUG
rnacentral:rRNA from 1 species